UGGAACAUCUGCAGCCUGGCCAAGUGGUC
rnacentral:piRNA from 1 species